rnacentral:ribozyme from 1 species
ACUGAGAGAAAACAAAACUCUAAAAAAAAAAAAUAAGAAACACAGGCUGAAAUUACACACGGAUCAAAAAUCAAAAGUUUGAAGAUUUUUUUUUGUUUUGGUUCUUUUAUUUGUUUUUGUUUUCCAUUU